UGAUGCGGCAGCUAUAAUGCAGUCGAGCGGCCCUUCGGGGCAUCGGUCGACGGGUGAGUAACGCGUGGGAAUGUGCCCUUUGGUACGGAACAACUGGGGAAACUUGUGCUUAUACCGUACGUGCCCUUCGGGGGAAUGAUUUAUCGCCAUUGGAGCAGCCCGCGUUGGAUUAGGUUUCUGGUGAGGUAAAGGCUCGCCCCCCCGACGAUCCAUAGCUGGUCUGAGAGGAUGAUCAGCCACACUGGGACUGAGACACCGACCUGACUCCUACGGGAGGCACCCUGAGGGAAUCUUGCGCAAUGGACUAAAGCCUGACGCAGCCAUGCCGCGUGAAUGAUGAAGGUCUUAAGAUUGUAAAAUUCUUUCACCGGGGAAUAAUGACGGUACCGGAGAAAACCCCGGCUAACUKCCCAGCACCGCGUAAUACGGAGGGGGCUAGGUUGCUGUUACUGGCGUAAAGGGGCGAGCGGAUGUUAGUGGGAAAGCCCGGGCUCCCUAUCCUUAGAUACUGGACAUCUUGAUACGGAGAGGGAGUGGAACUCAGUGUAGAGGUGAAAUUCUAAUAUUCGAAGAACCCAGUGGCGAAGGCGACUCUGGYCGUUACUGACGGAGCGCGAAAGCGUGGGAGCAACAGGAUUAGAUACCCUUAUCCACGCCGUAAACGAUGAUGCUAGUUGUCGGCAUGCAUGCAUGUCGGGACGCCUACGCAUUAGCACUCCGCCUGGAGUACGUCCAGAUUAAAACUCAAGAUUGACGGGGCYCGCACAACGGUGGAGCAUGUGGUUUAAUUCGAAGCAACCCAGAACUUACCACCUUUUGACAUCCCUGAUAGGAGAGAUCCAGUUUUCCCUUCGGGACAGGGACACAGGUGUGCAUGGCUGUCGUCACUCRUGUCGUGAGAUGUUGGGUUAAUCCGCACGAGCCACCCUCGCCAUUAUUGCAUCAUAGUUGGGUCACUCUAAUGGGGACCCGGUGGUAAGCCGGAGGAAGGUGGGGAUGACGUCAAGUCAUCAUGGCCCUUACGGGGUGGGCUACACACGUGCUACAAUGGAGAGUACAGAGGGCAGCGAAGCUGCGAAGCGGAGCUAAUCCCUAAAAGUCGUUUCAGUUUGGAUUGCACUUUGCAACUUGAGUGCAUGAAGUCGGAAUCGCUAGUAAUCGCGGAUCAGCAUGCCGCGGUGAAUACGUUCCCGGGCCCGUACACACACGCCCGUCACCCCCUGGGAGUUGGCUUUACCCGAAGGCGGUGCGCUAACCCGCAAUGAGCAGCGACCGACAAAUU
rnacentral:rRNA from 1 species